AUCUAGCUGACGAGUCCCGAAUAUGACGAAAUGCGCAUCUUGGAU
rnacentral:hammerhead_ribozyme from 1 species